GCAGUGUGCAAAUCUGAGUGUGCGUUUCUAACGUGAGCUAGUCAUUGGAAGAAUUCCGAAAAAAUCUUAAAAGAACUUUAAUCUUUGGGAUUUUUGAUUAUUUCGAAAAAGACUCAACAGAGGCAUACAUUGUUCUGCUAAAAGAUCUAUUAAAUAUCAAAAUGGAUUUCAUUGUAAACAAUUUAAUUCGAAUUAUUGCUAACUUGACAAUCUGGCAGUCAUUGUUUGCCGAACUUCAACAAAACGAAAUAUUUGCACUAGAGGAUAGUCUUGCUGACAAUAGUUUUACCGAAAGUGAAUCUUACACCGAAGACGAAAUAAUGGGAAUAGAGGAUGGAUUUGAUGACUAUAGUUACACUGAAAGUGAAUCUUACGAAGACGAAAUGGAACUAGAUAGUCUUGGUGACAGUAUUUUUACCGAUAGUGAAUUUGGAGACGAUGAAAUUGUCGAACAAGGGUAUAGUUUUGAGAACAAUUAUUAUACCGAUAGUGAUCUUACCUGUAGUGACGAUGAUGACCUUGAAGAAUGGUUGAGUCAUUAAUAAUACGAUACCAGGUCUUUUAUGUUCCAUUUUCUUAAACCAAUAUGAUGCUUGAAUUUCAAUAAAAUGAAAUAAUUGCUGUCAA